rnacentral:rRNA from 1 species
AGAACGAACGCUGGCGGCAGGCUUAACACAUGCAAGUCGAGCGCCCCGCAAGGGGAGCGGCAGACGGGUGAGUAACGCGUGGGAACAUACCCUCCGGUUCGGAAUAGCUCAGGGAAACUUGGAUUAAUACCGGAUACGGCCUAGCGGCGAAAGAUUGAUCGCCGGAGGAUUGGCCCGCGUCUGAUUAGCUAGUUGGUGGGGUAAUGGCCCACCAAGGCGACGAUCAGUAGCUGGUCUGAGAUGAUGAUCAGCCACAUUGGGACUGAGACACGGCCCAAACUCCUACGGGAUGCAGCAGUGGGGAAUAUUGGACAAUGGGCGCAAGCCUGAUCCAGCCAUGCCGCGUGAGUGAUGACGGCCUUAGGGUUGUAAAGCUCUUUCGCUAGGGACGAUAAUGACGGUACCUAGACAAGAAGCCCCGGCUAACUUCGCGCCAGCAGCCGC